UACGGAGGAUGCAAGCGUUAUCCGGAUUUAUUGGGUUUAAAGGGUGCGUAGGCGGUAAAAUAAGUCAGCGGUGAAAGUUUGAGGCUCAACCUUAAAAUUGCCGUUGAAACUGUUUCACUUGAGUGUAGAUGAAGUAGGCGGAAUUCGUGGUGUAGCGGUGAAAUGCAUAGAUAUCACGAAGAACUCCAAUUGCGCAGGCAGCUUACUAAGGUACCACUGACGCUGAAGCACGAAAGCGUGGGUAUCAAACAGG
rnacentral:rRNA from 1 species